UUAUUUCUACGUGUGUUUAUAAUUACCAAUUAUUUAUUUUUUUGUUAUGGGGGUAUUGCAUGGUAGCAAAAAGCCCAUAUAUUUUAUGGCAGGAAACGGACGACAUUACCACACCACCAGAGGAAAUCCAGGGGGUAGUUGCGGCUAAGUUCUUGUCAAAUCGGGCUAUGCUAGUAAGCGUUUAGUGCCUUUAUGUGUCUGUCAGAUUUCCUCCCCUACGCUUAUUUUUCCCCGUUUUUUUUAUAUUGUCGUUUUCUUUUUCCCCACGUUAUAUAUACCGAUUUAGUGCGCAUUUUGAGCCAAAGAUUUUUUAUUUAUCGAAAACUAUUUUUAGUCCAGGUUUAGCUCUGUAAAUGCGAUUUUUUAUCCUUUGUACCGAAUAUUUUCCACAUAAUCCCGAUUUUUCCUUUUUAGUUUUGUUCAUCUUUUAAUUAAAGUUUGUAUAAUCCAUUUUUUGGUACCGCGUUCUUUCUAAACGUGCAUUUUUUGCCAUUUUAUACGUUUGUACAUUGCACAAUUUAUUAACGUUUUAUUACCUUUUGCUAGUUACCGAUGAGAAGUUUACCCCCGCGUUUUGCAGCGCGUUAGGAUUUCGAAAUUGCCAUCCUAUACGCUUUUAUUGUCGAAACCGAUGCCGUGCUUUUAUUUUUCGACAAAUGUUGGGAUAAAAACGCCGAUGGCCACCCCUACAAUAAGGCUAUAGGAGAUUCCAAUAUUUACACCACAGGCCUCGUCGGCUACCAUAACGUUGUUUUUAUUUACCUCGGGGGUAUAGGCAACGUUAGCGCGGCCGGGGCGGCCGCCAGCGUCCGGAUAAAUUUUCCAAAUAUCAAGUUCGGUUUUGUCGUCGGCGUCCUUUACGUUAUACCUUCCGGCUUUAUUAAAAACGAAAGGGUAUUAGGCGAUAUUAUUAUUAACGAGGCUAUUGUUUAAUAUAAUUUUGGCCGGCAAUAUGCAAAUCGGUUCGUACGCAAAAAUAUAUUUUUUAAUAUGUAAGGCAAACCGAAUUAGGAAAUACGUAACCUGUUGCAAAAAUUUAAGGGUUAAUUUUACCGGAAAUAAUUCCAGGAACAGAUGGCCAAAUAUCUGGAAUUGUUACAAAAUGGAGAUAAUCCAAAGUACAAAUACCCCGGCAAGGAAGACGAUUUUUUUUCCCGCCUAAAUACCGCCACGUAAAUGACGACAAAAUAUGCAAAAUUUGCUGCGAUAUAUUAAAAAAGGUGAAACGUACCCGGCUUUAUCCAAAUGUCGCGAACCCCAUGCCUAUAAUGCAUUUCGGCAUCGUUGGAUUAAGUAAUAGCGUUAUUAAAUCCAGCGAAAAUCGUUCCAUUUUUGCGACGCCAAAUGGGCUAAUAAAUUUCGAAAUGGAAGGAUUUGGAAUAUGGGAUAAUUUCCCAUAUGUAAUUAUUAAAAGUGCGUGCGAUUAUGGGGAUAGUUAUAAAAUUAAACUAUGGUAGCUAUAUGUAGCAGCAACCGCCGCGGCGUAUACGAAGGCGUUUUUGGAACAUUGGGCUUUUUAUUAGCAACCAGGUUAAUAAGAUAUACGAUAAAAGAAAACAUUUCUCCGUCCCUCGGUCCUUUGCGUAUAUUGUUUUUUGUUUCAGCCAGCCCUAAUUACAAAAAUUUAUAUUACGCAUUCAAAAUCGGCAUAUAUAUUAACUCUUAUUAUUAGCAGCCCCCCCAAAAUCUAUCAAAGCUGGCCCGUGGUAUUCCCAAUUAUAUAAGAACCGCAAUUUCGUCGGACGAACCGAAUUUAUUAACGACCUAACGGGCAAGCGAUUUAUCGGCGAUAAUUAUGGCCACCAGCGCAUCGCAUUAUCUGGAUUCGGUGGCGUCGGUAAGACGCAAUUGGCCCUCGAAAUAGUUUUUUGGAUUAAGGAUAAUAUUCCAGGAUAAUCUGUUUUUUGGAUAUAGGCCUUUAACAUGGUAAAUUUCGAGAAAUCGUGCAGGGAUAUAACCAAAUUGCUGUCCCCAAACGCGGUGGAACAGGAUAAUACGAAAGAGCUGGUUAAAAAAUAUUUCAAUUUUGUCGCGGCCGGCCGUUGGUUUUUCGUCGUUGAUAAUAUCGAUAAUGAGAUUUUGUUAGGUAAUGGAAAGGAUGGUAUACGUAAUUUUUUUUUUCGCUCGGACCGAGGAAAAAUUUUGUUUACGAUUCGAUAUUAGUAUAUCGCACACCAAUUUGCCCAAAACGAAAUAAUUAAUUUUAAACGGAUGAACGAGGACGAGGCCAAAAAUUUGCUAAGGAACUCCCUCGUAAUAAAACCCACAAACGAUGCCGAGCAAAAUGUGUUCGAAUUCCUGGAACUUCUAAUAUAUUUACCGUUAAUUAUUAUCCAGGUGGUAUUAUAUAUAAACGUUAAAACAAUUUCGGUAUUCUAAUAUAUUAGUUUUUUAAAAGGUAUACCAGGCGAUAUAAUAAAUCUGUUGGAGAAAAAGUGGGAAGAUUACGGUAGGGAUCCCAAAUAGGCGCAUACCAUAUUAAAUAUUUGGGUGGUGUUUUUUAAACAGAUUUGGAAAAGCCUGGGUGUUGCCAAACUAUUUAGCUUUAUAGCAUAUAUUAAAUUUAAGGCAAUACCGCUGUCGAUAUUACCACCAAUUGGGUCGGAGUUAGAGCGGAAUAUGGAACUCGGAAUUUUUUGUGGCUAUUUAUUUUUAAAAAAAUAGGGGAAUGGUACCAUAUAUAAUAUGCAUCGUUUGGUAUAUUUCGCUUUACGAAUAUGGGUAAAAAGGCAGGGCAAUGCCAGGAAGCAGAAGCAGGAUGUGCUAACUUAUUUUGACAGGAUUUUUUCAACAGAUAAGUGGGAAGAGCGUAAAAAAUGGCGACAAAUUUUGCCCCACGUGUUCGAGGCGAUCCACAAUAACGAAAAAUAUAAAACUGGCUGGCGCGAAAAAGGCAAUCUAGGUUAUUGGGUUGGAAGGUGUUUACAGGCUAAAGGUUAAAUAUAACGGGCCGUCAAAUUUUUGGAAUACGUGGUAAAGGUUCGGGAAACGAUAUUGGCGGAAAAUCACCCGAAUCGAUUAGUAUUGCAACACGCAUUUGCUGGAAUAUAUUAAACCAACGGUUAAAUACAAUAGGCCGUCCAAUUUUUGGAAUACGUGGUAAAAAUUGAAAAAACGACAUUGGCGGAAAAUCACCCGAAUCGAUUAGCAUUGCAACACGCAUUUGUUGGAGUAUAUUAAACCAACGGUCAGGUGAAAAAAGAUGUUAGGAAAUGGAUGCGAUUAUGCGGAUAUAUAAGGUGCUAGGAGGUUAAUAAGGUUUCGCAAAAUGGUUUAAUAUUGCAACGAGGUUUUUAACGAAGCAAAUAACAGUUUUGGUUAUCCUAAUACUUUUUCUGUUCCUUGUUCCAUUCCUCCCCUUUUUAUUAACACCGCCGUGUAUUAAUUUGGUAACUUGUUUUUGCGGUUUAUUGGCACCACUUCCACGCAGUUUGGUGCAUAUAAAAUUCCAGGACUAAUCCAGCAAAAAACCCUAAUUAGCUAUUUAGUUUAUUGCAAACCUUUUUUAACUGUUUACAAAUCCUUUACCCUUAUUUCGUAUUUCCGAACCCGUGCGCUAUUCAGCGUUUUGGCCUUUUCCCAUAACCUUUCGGCUUUUGGUGGAGCCUUCCAUUUUAUAAAAUAGUUAACGUUUCCACACAAUUUCUUUUAUUAAAUACCUGCAUUCCUGCAUAGUUUCCCUCGAAUAUUAAUUCGAAAUUUUUAAUAAAAUCUUCGCUAAUAUUUCCUUAUAAUUUCUACGUAUUAUUUUUAUAUGGGAACCCCUUCCAUCUAACAAGGUAUUUGAAUUUUUUUUUGGACACCAUUUUGCGAAAAGCUCUUCAACUUCCCAUAUAUCUCUUGUUGUUAGCAACGUUGGCCAUGGAGCGACAGAUAAAAAUAAAAAACAUACGGAAAAAAUUGCUACUCACUUAAUAAUAUAAAAAUUACCAAAAACGACAUACUUAAUUGCAAUAAAACCGUUUAUAAUUAAUCGAUACACCCAGAAUAUAAUGUGCUGGCAAACCGUUAAUUGACAAAUAACGCGAUCGUUAAUGCUGAAAAACUCCCAAAUUUGUUAAUUUUCCAUUCGAAAAUUAUUCCUUUGGUAUUUUGCUAUUAUUCGUCCUUAUUCCACUCACCAUUAUCCAGCCUAAACGUUUUUAAAAUGACCAAAUUCGUCCAAACUCGACCGGCCAUUGCCAUGGUAAUUACGAUUGCCAGGGAGAUAUUAACCCCUUUAACGAAUGGCACUUUGCUUAUCGUUUGCCGCACCGUUCGCCAUUAUAGUUUUCCAUUGGUUAGCGGUUAUAUCUUUAGGUAAUAAUGGUGCCCAUCCAUGCUACUGCUAGUGGUAACGACGUCUUGUCCUUUUAAUAAAAGCGUAUGCCCGUGCCGUCAGGAUGGCAUGCAUAUAAAGAUAGCUAACGUUAACUUUAGUGGAGAAAUAGGAUAGCAUUUACACUUAAGUUAUGCGCUUCGACAAUUUAAGGUGCUUAAGGCCAAAGGCGAUCCCGCCGGCGAUAGAAUUGCAAGUCCGGCGGCCGACUGGAACAACCGGGGCUAGUAGGCCCUUAUAAUAACGAAAGUAUUUUGAAGAGACUAGCGGCAGUGAUUUCCAAGAUCUUUAAUAUUACCAAACAAUCUGGCGGUCCUGUUUAGGUUAAAUACAGCGCAGCAGAGAGCCAGUUUUGUUUGUUCAAGAUUAAUUUUGUUAAAAUGCUGCCAGACGAUUUUUACGCAAAAUGGAAUUCGACGAUAGAAAUAAAAGGUUUGGUAUUUUAUAAAAGUCCGGGUAUAAUAUCUAAUGGUAAAAACAUAUAUAAAUUAACGUCGGGUACGCCCUAUUGGCCACCCCCGCCUAUUGGCCACCCAAAACUCUAAAAACCAAAUUUCGUAUUUUGCAAAGUAAUUUAAAUAUAUAAUUAUUAACGCAUAAUAAUAUAAUCGUUUUCAAACUUUUCCGGUUUUUUAACCUUUUAUUUAUUACCUAAAAUUUCCAAAUUAGCUAUAUUAUUUUCCUGCGAUUAAUUAAAUUUUUUUUUUGCUAACCAAAUGUUCGUUUGGAUCCGGAAUGUGAGGAUUAGGCCACCAAACCUAUUUUCGGAAUUACUAUUCCAUUUACCAGACACGCUAAACCCAGGGUUCGCAAAAGGUCCACUGAUUUCGGAUUUAAACGCGUCGUUCCAGCGCGUCGUUAAUUGUAAUUUCUUUUUUUUCGUUAGUUUAAAAUUUUCGUUAAUAGCGUUUAAUAUAUUAAGGUUUUCCAAUAUAUGCCUGGCCGUGAUAUGGAGGACCAACUCCGGUCGGUUUAAUUAUUUGGAAAUAUAGGUUUUAGCCAAAAAUUGUUAUUUUCGAAAUUCCGGAAAAUAUGGGACCAAAAAGAUUUUAAAAUAGUUUUACAAAAACGGGAAAUCGAAAUUUUAAAAGCACAAAUCGAAGUAUUACAGCCUAUUAAAAGGAAAAAGGUUUAUCCCGAUCCAAACGAAAUUUUCGUAAUUAUUCGACAGAUUUAACGCGCACAAAGAAAAGCGAGGUUGGAAAUGCUAAACGCAGUUAAUUUACCGGAAAAAGCGCCUUUUAAUAAAAUAUUGGAUAAUAUUACCGUUUUAGAUUUGACCGAUUGAAUAAGGAUUGCGUAGGUAAAGUUGUAAAUUACAUUAAUUUUUUUGGGGUGGCCGGAAUGCGGGAGUGGUCGGAAUACAGGGGUGUUGAUUUGACGUUAAUUAAUGAGUAAUUGAGAUCGGAUGGUGGCUGCCAGUAUUUCGUGCAGCUUUUCAAGGAAAUAUUAUAACGAACUGCUUAACAAACCUAUUGAAAAAUUGCUAAAGUUAAAUAAAGCGGACGCGAUGGAAAUCGACGCUCAAGAGCUUUUAGACGAGGAAGUUCAAGACCCGGAGGAUAAAAACCAAAGUUCCGAAACCGCGUUUAAAAACAAAAUAACGAUCGUGCAAAAGCGUCGGGAUUGGGUUGAAAAUUUAAAAGGACGGACCAUUAAUUCCACAAAAAAGGAUUGGUGCGAUUUUAUAUUAACCAAAACUAAUAAGGAGCUAUUUGAAAAAAAUAAAUCUUGUUUUAAAGAACGUAACCCUCGAAAUGGGGCGGAAAAAUAAGGCCCAAAUGACAAAAAUUAAAAUUUUAAAUAAAACCAGGAUACGAAAGGAAAUAACGAUAAACUAUUAAAUAAUAAUGCAAGCGUUAAAACCGGAUUUAACCGUGGCCAACCCGGGCAUAUUAAAAACGAAUUUUCGCCCAAUGGAAAAAAAAGAAAUGGUUUAAAACAAAUAACGUUUAAUAACGAUAAAAAACCAUUGGUUCCAUUUCCCGGAAACGUUACAAAUGGAAAAAUUAAAAUUAUAGGGUGGUUCGGUGGUUGGGGUAUUAAAUAUAUUAACAUGUAUGGUAAUAAAAACGUUCCGACGUAUUAUAUUAAAAAAUAUUAUUAUUCCCCAAAUUACGAAAAUAAAAAAUAUACGAUAUAUUAAAAACAAAAUGUUUUUAACCAGGAAAACAAAUAUGGAAAAAAAUGGAAAACGGUAAAUAUAAAUACACCGGGCGUUAUAUAUUUGGGAUUUACGGGGUUACUUGGACACGUAAUUUGGAUAUUUCCCCGCAUAAACUGGAUUUAAUCGAUCCGCAACGGAAAAAAAAACCUAGCAUUUAUAUCCUCGUUAAAUGGAAAAUUAAUGGGAAAAAAAUAAAGUCCUGGGAAACGCGGACCUGUAUUCGACGAUUGUAAAAAAAAUUAAAAAAAACAAACCAGGUUAUUUACAAUACGGCGUUUAAAACCGAAAACAAAUAUAGGAUGGUUUAGGGUUUGGGACGUUUAAAUAGCCGGUCGCCGUUUGUCGGCUUUAUCCACGAUAUAAUUAAAUAAAAGCGAACGAAAUUCCUAAAUCCAAUUUUAUUAGUUUAAAAACGCGUUAAAACACCAAAUUAGACGGCCAAUCCCAUUCCGGCAAAUAUUUCGAUCGCCCAAACUUUUGCAAUACUUCCGGUUUCCGGAGGUAUAAUUGCGAAAUACACGGUAUUUAUAUAUCCAAUCGCAUCGGCCCCUUCCCAUAAUAUAAUAUCGCCCGGUUACGCACCCAUUUAAAUAAUUAAUUUUAAUCCGACAAAAUUUAUUCCCAUAUUUAACCAAUUUUUCAAUUUUAUAUAAUCCGCUUCAACCUUUACCCCGGUUGCGCUAUAUAUGUAAAUCGUACCCUUUAUUUAUUUACUGGUUUUAAUACCUUUUAAAUUCCCUAAUAUUUGGUAAUUUAUUUAAUAUUAAAUUAAUACAACUAAUCCUUUUUAAUUAUUUGGUUUUAUUUUAAUAUUAUAUAAAAUGGAAUGCCGUUUUAAAAUAAGUUAAUCCCCUUAAAAGUUUUAUAAUUCGAAAAACCAUUUUCCAGAAUAUAUAUAUAUAUAUAUAUAAUGGCAAAUAUUUAAUUUUAUAUAAUAGCUUUUCUCCCCUUUAUUUAUCCUUUAACAGAAACGGCCCUUGCGAAUUGUUUCACCUUAUAUGGCUGGUUUGGUCCUUAUAAUUUUAAUUAGGAAGGCAAUAUCGGUGGGCAAACUGUAAAUUACUUGCAUUCCGAAAAAUAGAAAAUAAAGAUUUUUGCCGUUAUCCGAAACACAACAUUAAUUUAUUAAAAACGAUGGGGAACAAUUAUUAAAACUAUAAAAAUUGCUAAUAUUUGCAACUAAACCCCGUAGCGAAUUUAUUUUUGCCACCAAAACUUUUAGGAAUUCCUGGAUAUUUUUCACAUUUUCCUUUAAACCAAAAACUAAAUCGUUAACUUUUUUAAUUUUUUGCCGGCAUUCCGAACGACAAUUCCUUAUGCAAAUCGGACCCGAGAAAAAAUAUAAUUCUGAUGUUUUAUUUUCAGAGGAAAUAUCUUCAUCAGGUAUAAUAAAAUCGAUUAGAUUCCCGGUGCUGUCGGAAUUAACGGAGCUAAUUUCUUCAAUUAAUUAAUUAGUGAAUUUUUGCCCCAUAAUUAGUGUACGGUCGCUUACCGCCAAAUGAUUUGCUGGAACGCAUAUCUGCUGUUGAUAUUAAAUAGGAGUAAUAUAGCUGGUACAGUUUGGAGCAAAUCUAUCUUCCGCUUUCAAUACAUACGUUGAAACUUGAAAAUGUGGGACGGCUUAAAGAUACUUGGGUUUACUUGGCAAGAUGGAGGAAGAUCCAAAUUUGGCUGCCCAAUAAGCUACAAACAGCCAUUCUUGGCUUUAAUUGCCCAUUUGCAAAAGUACCUCGAAAUAGCUGUUAUUUCCCCACUUGGAUGUUUAACCGAAUAUUUUCCGCGACAGUGCGAGCGGGGCAUAAGAUUAUUUGACUCUAGCGUAUAAUAGAAUGGCAAUUGGAAGUCGUUUCGCCAAAACGAAUAAGUACACAGUAAUUAAGGCAACGGUAACCUACACUAUAUGGGGCAGAUGUAGAAAAUCGAUUAUAUUGACGAGAGGAAGAUGGUUUUGCUCCUAACUAUAUUAUAGUGUAGCUGGUAAAUUUAAACGCGUUAACACUAAACACGUUGCAGUCCCUCUCCCAAACAUUGAAAUAGGCGGGUUGUCCUGCUGUAUAAUACCCAGCGCACCCUCAGUUUGCGGCGCAGCUACCAAGGCCCAUUUUGGGGCCGUCGGCCAAAAUUGCCUCGAUUAAAAAUAGGUAUAUACAGCAAUUGGAUAAGGCCUAAGCCCAAUCACGGUUUUUGCGUUCCUGCCAGGAUUUCGUUCUUCGAACCCUAAAUUCGAACCUCCUAUUUUUUGGCGGUCCAAAAAUUGGUUAUUACGUUUAUAACAAUAAUAAAUAGUUUUUAUACCAAUUUACGCCAAUAUGCCCCAAUUUGGUAUAAUUAAAUAUAACUCCUAUAUAAUUAAACCGAUAUAAUAUUUGUGUUGUAGCUUUGACCUGGAAACAAAUAUAAUUUAUAAAUCUUUUCCCUUAAACAAUAUUUUUAUUGCGAAUUUUCCUAUUAUAUAGAAAAAACAAAUUAUAUACCUUUUUUCCCGCCUUUUUUUACUAAUAAUGCCGGUAAUAAAAAGCCAAUUUCCAAAAAUUCCCAUAAUUUUUGCCAUUUUCAUGGCCGUUAUCGCCAUUGGUAACGGUGCACCCACAUUUAUUAAAGUUUUGGCUGUCCGUAACGGCCCCGAAUUUAAUAUUAUGCGCGCGGCGGUUUACGCAAAAUUUUUCCCAACAUUUAUCGAAAUAUAUAUAAUUUUUGUUAUUAUUGCAUUAUUAAUAAUCCUAACGGCUAUAUGUAUAUUAAUCUCGUAUAUCGCACGUCUUUGUUCGUAAUUUUUCGGGUUAAACCCCGAAAUGUCGUAAAUUGUGGCCAAUAUAUUUUUUGAGGUUAUAUUAAAGGAUUUUUCAACUCGUAUAUAUAUUUUCCUACAGCAAUUAAUGCAGAAUCUAAAACAGCAUAUCUAGAGCCGGUACGGGUAAGUAAGAUGUUAAUUGGGUUAUAGAUAUAUUAUAAUUUAUAAGAUUUCUACCGCCUUUUAUAUAUGAAACGGGCAUAUUUGCCCCAAGUUGUCCGUUUUGGUAAAAAUCUUUUUAUUAUUUUGUAAAUCCAUUUAAAAACUAGGCUUUAUUUUUGCCAAAUUUUACCGUUUUAAAAUAAUAUUAUUAAACAAAUAUAUAACCCGACGGCUGGAUAACGGUUUAAUUACCAAAACCGAAAAACAGGCAUUUGCCGAAACAAAUAAGGAAAAAAACAGGUACAUUUUUUCGGACGCGCUGGUCGAAAACUUCCCCGAUAUUGUCGAAUUUCGGUACCAAAUUCUGGGCGUGCUAUUCGCCGGCCGCGACACCACGGUUUCGCUUAUUAAUUGGGUAUUUUAUAACCUCGCGCGCGACCCGGCCCGGUACCUAAAAUUGAGGGCAAAAGGUACGGGUGGGAAUUUAUACCGGUAAAUUUGCUUUUUAUUUUUAUAUUUUUUUUUCGUCCUUAUUUUGCGUUUAUAAAUAAUAAUUUAACACGUUUUUGCCCCGUUUAUUUUAAUUUGGUGGAGGAUUUCGAAUUUGCCCCGGCUAAUAAUCGGCAUUAACCAAAUUUGCGUACGUGGUUGUAAGGUUAUUGCAACGAUUCGACCGGAUAAAAAGUUGGGAUUUAAAGCAAAAUGCGAAAUAUAAUGCGACGGCCGCAAUAUAUUUUAAAACGGGAAUUAAGGUUAAAUUGCAUACGGGGGGUACCUGGGAAUUGGUUUUUGAAGUUCAGCGCCAUUAUUCCGUUUGUUAAUUUUAAAAUUUUAUUUACAAGCCAAAAAAAAAGGUUUUAAUGUAACAAAAUCGGGUUUUGAAAUUUUUGGAAUUAAUUAUCCAAAAACCCUAUUGUAACGAUACAGUUCCUAUUAUAUGGGUGUACCAGACUAUAUUAUUUAAACGUUUAAAAUUUAAAAACUCCUGGCAGGUUAUAAAUAAUUGGAAUUUUCGACUGUUCGACAAAAUUAACGGUUUUUUAAAGCGGAUAUAUCUGUUUUAAAAUUUAAGGCGUAAUACCAGCGGUUAAUAUAAAAAACCGUUUUAUUAAAAUAUUGUACCGAAUUUGCUGGAUCGCUUUAAAUUGCGAAUUUUUUUACAAUUGUUCUUUUUUUUAACGUCCACCUUUAAAUUUAGCAGACGAAUAAUUAUAACGGUUGUUAUUAUUACGGUUUGUCCGGAAGAACGAAAAGGACGAGGUGCUUUCCUUAGGCUGUCCAAAACAAUAUAUUAAACGGGUAUUUGGACUGUGGUUAUUUUGUAAAUUUGAAAUUUGAAAUAUUGGACAAUAUAAAACUUUUACCGGAAAAUUUUAAUAAAUUAUACCGAUAACGGAAACCUAAAACAGGAUUUGGUUUUAUUUAAAUAAAUUCCCGCCAAAUCCGCCGUAGUCCUGGCCAUUUAAUCCGUUCGAAAAUAUCUUUUGUCGUAUAUAAUUUAUAAUAGUUAUUUGGUAUAAUUUAAAUGGUAAAUAAAUUUGGGUUCGAUAAUAAUUAAAAAAUUGGGCAGGACGUGGAAUAAUAUAAAAAAUUUCGCGUAAUAUAGCAGAAAAUGUAAUUUCGGGGACCAAAUAUGCGAGCGGGUUUUUUAACUGCAAUUGUCGCCUCGUUUAUAUUUAUAAAAAACAGGUAAAUUUUGGAGCUAAGCCGCAAUACCCGUCACACGCCAUAUUUUGCAAAAUUAGUAAUAAAAAUAAACGUUAUAACGUUAUCCACCGUAAUUUGCUAAAACACUAAAAUGCGGCUAUUACCCUCUGUUUAAAUGCCUGCAAAUUGCAAUUAGGCGAACUUCAUUUAACCUUUUUCCGACUGGAGGUUAUCCGCACGUUAACCGGCGGGAUAUUUUUUUAUUUUUAUUAAUAUUUAUUAUUAUAGCGCAAAUAACGUAUUUUAUAUUAACAAUAUUUAUAUAAAAACUAAAACCCACAAUUAAAUUUGACCGAAAAAAUAUUAAUUAUAUAAAAACCAAAGUUAAAAUACCAAUAGAAUUUAUUUGCCCUCCGUCCAUAUUUCGGAUAUAUCCUCCCAAUUUAUUUAAAUAAUAUAUUAUUAAAUUUGGUAGUUUAUUUCCUAUUUUCGUUUUUUUAUAACCCGUACUAAUAAUAUUACGAAAUACGAAAAACCUUAUCACGAACGAGAACAGUGUUUUAACGGGGUUUCGGCGGCGGCGGUUUGGGUACCCCGGUCGUGUUAUACGCGUCGCGCAUCAAAUUCGGUUGGAUAAUUUGCAUAAUUAUUUUGCAAAAAUAGCACGUAUAUGCUAAUAUAAUUAAUAAAAAAAUUAAGUUUUAUUUUUAAAUUUUAAAAGGAGGUCCAGGUUAAAAUUUACCGUUUUUUUGGCAAUUUUCCCUAAUUCGAAAAGUUCAAAAUGUCCGGUUUUCGUGUAAAAAUGUUAAACGAAAAUAAAGGAUAAAAUAGGAGGGCAAAAGUUCAGGACGAAAUUUUGGGACAAACAGUCCCGACAAAUGGGAAACGUAUAAAAUUUAUACAAUUAAAAAAUGCGAUAUAUAGAAAAAAGGGGGACGAUUCCGGAUUUUACCGUAAUAAAAUUUCGCUGGGCAUUUUGGCGUAUUGCAAAGUUUGUUUUAAGGGUUUUAAAGGUUUAAUACGCAAUUGUUAUAUUUAUUUCGUAAUAAAGGAAAGUUUUAAUUGGAAAUUUAAAAUUAAAUAAAAAUGGUAGCAAAGUCGUUUUUGGUUAUAUAUUGUACUUAUUAACGAAUAACAUUUUUAUUAUAAACGUUUUCCGGGCCCAAGUUACAAUUUUAAAAACCAAGCGAAAAAUUAUUCGGGAGCAAAUGUUGAGCGACCUUAUAAGGUUAAAAUAUACAGGGAUUAGAAAGGAGUUUGGCAAUAUCGAACGAUAUGGCAAAACCAUUCUAAUUUAGGCAUUUAAAUUUUUCAAAAAUUUCUAUUAUUUUCGAACCCUUUUUAUAUAUUUAUAAUUUAGGUUUAAAACCGGGUAAGUAAACCGUAAAUUUUUUAAGGAAAAUAUUUUUAGCAGGUAUUAUAAAUAAUACCUUCGUUUUUUUAUAAUUGUUGUUAAUAUGCAAAAAGGUGGGGAAAUGGGCAUAUAACUGGUUUGGCUAUUUCUAUAUAUUUUGCUCGAGUUUAAUAUCGAGUCCUUUAUAUUCGACGAGCGUUUGUUUCACGAAAUGGCAUAUUUGAAAAAGAUUUGAAAUGGACCGACGAAAGGUAAUUAUAGGUUUAAAAUAAAUAAUUCGAUUUGUUAUUAAAGGGUCGUUAUUAUAUAUCGCACCGGGCUGGACCAUUUUCUACUUUAAUAUUACAAUAUUGGAAAUAAUUGCACAUUAUUAUUAAAUGAGAUGAAUUUCCCAGGAUUUCGGUUAAUAAUAAUGUUAUUAUAUUAUUAAUAUAUAUAUAUAUUUAAUUUUAGGGGAGCUGAUAUCCGGAUCGUAUUUUCUAUUUUUAUUUAAUUAGUUAGGGCGUGCAUUAAUAUUA
rnacentral:sRNA from 1 species